CAGUGAUACAAAAAAAAACCUACAAAAACAUCGUACAAUUAUAAAAAUGACUGGAAACGUUAGGUUUAAGUCAUUGAAACAGGAUUGAUGAAAAAAUACUGUGACAAUGCAUAUGAGUAUAAAAAGUACCAGAUCAUCAAAUAAGUAUGACUAUGAUUUGAAAUGUAGGAUAUAAGACUCUUUGAAACAGCAACCUACCAGAACUUCCAACAACUAUUGCUGUACAUGGAAAUGUUGGUAUAAGUCAAUGAGACAGCAACCUACCAAAAUCUAGAACACAUUUGACUAUCUUUAAAUGCUAAUGUUUGUUUUAGUCAAUAAGACAUCAAUCUACCAGAAUCUCGAACAAAUAUGACCAUGAAUGAAACUGCUUGAUUUUAGUCAAUUAUACAGGAACGUAGAAAACAUCCAACAAACAUGACAAUGAAUGGAAAUGUAACUAUUAAGUUAUGUGACAACAAUAAAAAAAAAAUGACAUUGUCGGUUACAAGUGAUGCAGUUAGCAAUCACUAAAAUACUAAGC
rnacentral:lncRNA from 1 species